GUCUUUUUUUUCUGUUUUUUUUUUUUUUCUUUUUUUUUUUUUUUUAAUUUUCAUUAGUUAAAAAUAUUCUGUAGAAGGAUGACUCUUUUGCAGGAGUCUGCCCUGCAAGCAAGGAUAGCCCCAAAGACGGAGCGGCAGUGGCUCUGGACCCCACCAAAACAAAACUGCCUGAUGUGGCAUGUGCUUCUCUCUCUUUGCAGUUCCCUCUGGGCCUGUGUGGACUAGGAGCACAACCUGGCGUCUGACUGGCAGGAGAGGAAAGCAGAGACUCCUUCAGGUUUCCAAAGAGGUCCGAGUGGACUGCAUUAGUAACGUUCUGGUAUGGCUCAUUGCUGUGGUAGACUCCCUGUGGACAAAGCAUUAAAAGAGUAUUCCAGAUAAUUUGCAUGAAGUGUUUUGAGACUGCACACGGAGAAGUUUAUUAGGUUAAGCUUUGCAGUUACGUUGGGUGGUCCUCAAACAUGAAGCAUGUGACAUUGAAUGCCUAAUAAAGAGUCUAUUUUUACAAUUUCCUUGAAAAAA
rnacentral:lncRNA from 1 species